AUUGAACGCUGGCGGCAGUCCUAACACAUGCAAGUCGAACGGUAACAGGAAGCAGCUUGCUGCUUCGCUGACGAGUGGCGGACGGGUGAGUAAUGUCUGGGAAGCUGCCUGAUGGAGGGGGAUAACUACUGGAAACGGUAGCUAAUACCGCAUAAUGUCGCAAGACCAAAGAGGGGGACCUUCGGGCCUCUUGCCAUCGGAUGUGCCCAGAUGGGAUUAGCUUGUUGGUGGGGUAACGGCUCACCAAGGCGACGAUCCCUAGCUGGUCUGAGAGGAUGACCAGCCACACUGGAACUGAGACACGGUCCAGACUCCUACGGGAGGCAGCAGUGGGGAAUAUUGCACAAUGGGCGCAAGCCUGAUGCAGCCAUGCCGCGUGUAUGAAGAAGGCCUUCGGGUUGUAAAGUACUUUCAGUGGGGAGGAAGGGAGUAAAGUUAAUACCUUUGCUCAUUGACGUUACCCGCAGAAGAAGCACCGGCUAACUCCGUG
rnacentral:rRNA from 1 species